rnacentral:rRNA from 1 species
GUGAGGAAUUUUGCGCAAUGGGGGCAACCCUGACGCAGCGACGCCGCGUGGAGGACGAAGUCUUUCGGGAUGUAAGCUCCUGUCAGUGGGGACGAUAAUGACGGUAUCCACAGAGGAAGCACCGGCUAACUCCGUGCCAGCAGCCGCGGUAAGACGGAGGGUGCAAGCGUUGUUCGGAAUUACUGGGCGUAAAGCGUAUGUAGGCGGCAAGUUAAGUUCAAUGUUAAAGCCCACGGCUCAACCGAGGAGAUGCAUUGAAUACUGGCUAGCUAGAGGGUGUUAGAGGAAGACGGAAUUCCCAGUGUAGCGGUGAAAUGCGUAGAUAUUGGGAGGAACAUCGGUAGCGAAAGCGGUCUUCUGGGACAUACCUGACGCUGAGGUACGAAAGCGUGGGGAGCAAACGGGAUUAGAAACCCUGGUAGUCC